rnacentral:rRNA from 1 species
AAUGCCGCGUGGAGGAUGAAAGCCUAUGGGUCGUAAACUCCUUUUCUCAGAGAAGAAAUUUUGACGGUAUCUGAGGAAUAAGCAUCGGCUAACUCCGUGCCAGCAGCCGCGGUAAGACGGGGGAUGCAAGUGUUAUCCGGAAUAAUUGGGCGUAAAGCGUCUGUAGGUGGUUUACCAAGUCUGUUGUUAAAACUCAAGGCUUAACCUUGGUCAGGCAACAGAAACUAGUAGGCUUGAGUACGGUGGGGGCAGAGGGAAUUCUCGGUGUAGUGGUGAAAUGCGUAGAUAUCGAGAAGAACACCAAUAGCGAAAGCACUCUGCUGGGCCGAAACUGACAUUGAGAGACGAAAGCUAGGGGAGCC